rnacentral:rRNA from 1 species
GAUCUGCUCAGGAUGAACGCUAGCUACAGGCUUAACACAUGCAAGUCGAGGGGCAGCAUGAACUUAGCUUGCUAAGUUUGAUGGCGACCGGCGCACGGGUGAGUAACGCGUAUCCAACCUACCCUUGUCCAUCGGAUAACCCGUCGAAAGGCGGCCUAACACGAUAUGCGGUUCACCGCAGGCAUCUAACGUGAACGAAAUGUGAAGGAGAAGGAUGGGGAUGCGUCUGAUUAG